CAUAGCUAAAUACUCGCUACCAAUGGCGAUGUCUCUAGUCCUCAUUGAGCUGGCUGAGGAACUGUCCAAGAACAAGAAAGUCCUGAAUGAGCUGUUCAGGAAUAGAACAUUGUGUCCUGCAAGAUGAAACAUGGACUGAGAAAGACGAUCAACAAACAAACUCUGAAGAACAUUCGUAAAACUCCAUUCUCAGUGCACAUAGAUGAGAAUAUUCUUCCCUUAUGAUGUUUCUAUAUGCAGUGAAGGAGUUGCGUUUCAUCAGAGUAUACGUUGAUAUAUUGAGUUCAGUUUGAUGGUCCCUAGAUGGCUGAACAUUACAGAUAAGUGCCUACAGAGAUUUAUCUUUUAAAAAGUAACCCGAGAACGUUACGAAAGUAAUUUCCAUAGGAACCAAAGACAGUCUUUUUUAUAAACUACUGGUGUAUAUAUCAAUGUGUAAUGAUGAUAUAUGUAAAUGGAAAUAUACUUGUAUAAAUAAGUAAAACGUUAUAUUGCAUCACUCAUUCUCUUUUCCCUAACUUAAAAAAACAUUAAUGAACAGUGAAAUGAAAAAUUUUAAAAUAUGAAAUAAAAUAAUAAUAUUUUUUCUCUGCACUAACCGCAAUAUUAACCAGAAUGUUCCAAGUUAGUUUUCUUAACAUUUUCAUCUGUUUUCUUUUAAUUUUACGGUUUUAUCACAGUAUUUUGUACCACUGGAAUAGCAAUUCUUGAAUAAAAAGCCACAACUCAUAA